CUAGUUGCACGGGUUUAGACCCGUAGCAGAUAGCUCAGUAAACGUGGCCAAAUUACCCUACAGACCAGGACAACCUCGGGAAACUGAGGCUAAUCCUGGAUAGUACUCUCACGCUGGAAUGCCGAGAGUAUGAAACGCCCCGGCGCUGUAGGAUAUGGCUGCGGCCGAUUAGGUAGAUGGUGGGGUAACGGCCCACCAUGCCGAUAAUCGGUACAGGUUGUGAGAGCAAGAGCCUGGAGACGGUAUCUGAGACAAGAUACCGGGCCCUACGGGGCGCAGCAGGCGCGAAACCUUUACACUGCACGCAAGUGCGAUAAGGGGACUCCGAGUGCGUGGGCAUACAGCCCACGCUUUUCUGGACCGUAAAGUGGUCCAGGAACAAGUGCUGGGCAAGACCGGUGCCAGCCGCCGCGGUAAUACCGGCAGCACGAGUGAUGGCCGAUAUUAUUGGGCCUAAAGCGUCCGUAGCCGGCCGCGCAAGUCCGUCGGGAAAUCCGCUCGCUCAACGAGCGGCCGUCCGGCGGAAACUGCACGGCU
rnacentral:rRNA from 1 species